UUGUGUUCUUCGUGUUCUUCGUGUUCUUGGGGAUUUCCCCUCCAAUUCGUGAAAGAUCUUCAUCUAAGGUUCCACCCUACAACAGUUCGUCCAUGAUUUUUAAAAAGCAAGUACAAAAUCAUGGUGUUACUGAAGUUAGGACAUAAUUUCCUCCUUGAAUCAUGUCACAAUAAAAAAGAGAUAUCACGUCCCUAAUAAAUUAGAAAAGAAAUCUCAGAAUCACGUAUGAUAAAAGAAAGAGAUCUCACGUCCCUUGUAUAAAUAAAAAACCAAUCGAUCUCACCCCAAGAAAAGAAAACUCAGAAUAAUCACGUACGGUAAAAAAAAAUCUCAUCGCUAUAAAAAAAAGAUCUCACGUGCCACAUAGAUAGAUGAAAAAAGAGGCCUAAAUACUAGAAAGUGCGCGCGCACUAUCUGGCGUUCGCGAGCGGCCGCUCCCUGGCCACACGAUGUGGCCUGAACCACCGCGCGCAUCGGCCAGGUGCUACCUGGUCAGGCACUCUCACCCGCUCGCGUUUGUGUCUAUCCCCACGCGUCCACGCCCUUUGCCCCAAUCCUCCUCGCAUGGCCGCCGCCGCCACACCUCAGGCCAGCCAUCUCCGCCCUCUCGAGUCAGCCGCCUCGGUCACAACUCGCGUCGGCCGCCGCCGACCCACCUCCCGAGCGUUCCAUCCCAGAGGUGCAUGAGUUUACUUUUCUCCCUUCGCUGGAGUUGGAGAAGAAGGUGCUAACUGCUGGAAUUAAUUGGACGGGAGAUCAAAUGGGCCGGCGUCGCAGUCGGCUGUCACCGCGCACCUUUGUUCGGCAUGGUGACGAUGGCGAGCACUGCACGGUAGCGGUGCCCACCAGCUCGUCUCGCUGCAGGCGGACUCUCGUUGUGGUGCUCGCCGGCGGCGCUUGCUGGGGCAGCGGCCGUCCAGUCAGGGUGCAUGGAAGAUUUUGUGAGAUGUGGGUGAAUCUGUGGGUCGGAGUUGGAGUCAAGGUGGAGCUUAUCAUGUGGAUUUCGUGGAGCCACUUGUUGUGAAGGCCGGAGCAGACAAGGAGAUCUAUGACAGUGUGAAAGAAGAAACCAAGAUUGUCUCUUGUUUGGGUCUGCAAGCAGCAAGCCUACUUUCAGUGUGCUACCAGCUGCAUCAGGUCAAAGUUUGUUCAUCAUCCAAGCUUAUUUGGCUACAAGAGGAUGCUGCCAUUUCUCAUGGAGAACGGUGGCCAAGUUCAGAAAUUGUCUAAAUUACCAUCAGAUGAGAUUCAGUCUCCACUGUGGAAGUUCAUUUGGAUGGCAGUGCAGCUAAAGUGCACAAAUCCACAUCAGAAGAAAAGUUAGCUUCGGUUGGAGAAUCAUUUGCCGUGCGUACAUUGCUCCAAAGGUAAAGUAAGUAGCCACUACAUCACUACCACGACCCGCACAUUUUGUUAAGUAAUAACUUUUUUGAGGAGUAAUGGAUUAAUUGAUACUACUGCUA